GUUAGUUCUUUUUUUCCUAUUUGGUUUUGGCUCAUAUUGUGACUGAGGCUUAUGGUGAAAUAAAUAUAACUAGUAUAAAUUAGUAUUGUAAUGUCUUAAUGUUGACCCAAUCAUUAUACCGCCGCUUCGAAAAAGUGGGGAGUAUACUGUGUUACCUCUGUCUGACCGUCCGAAGUCUGGUUUAUCGCGUGAUGCAUUUUC
rnacentral:lncRNA from 1 species